rnacentral:rRNA from 1 species
AUUGAACGCUGGCGGCAUGCCUUACACAUGCAAGUCGAACGGCAGCACGGGUGCUUGCACCUGGUGGCGAGUGGCGAACGGGUGAGUAAUACAUCGGAACAUGUCCUGUAGUGGGGGAUAGCCCGGCGAAAGCCGGAUUAAUACCGCAUACGAUCUACGGAUGAAAGCGGGGGACCUUCGGGCCUCGCGCUAUAGGGUUGGCCGAUGGCUGAUUAGCUAGUUGGUGGGGUAAAGGCCUACCAAGGCGACGAUCAGUAGCUGGUCUGAGAGGACGACCAGCCACACUGGGACUGAGACACGGCCCAGACUCCUACGGGAGGCAGCAGUGGGGAAUUUUGGACAAUGGGCGAAAGCCUGAUCCAGCAAUGCCGCGUGUGUGAAGAAGGCCUUCGGGUUGUAAAGCACUUUUGUCCGGAAAGAAAUCCUUGGCUCUAAUACAGUCGGAGGAUGACGGUACCGGAAGAAUAAGCACCGGCUAACUACGUG